UACGAAGGGGGCUAGCGUUGCUCGGAAUCACUGGGCUUAAAGGGCGCGUAGGCGGCUUGCCAAGUCAGGGGUGAAAUCUUUCGGCUUAACCGGAAAAGUGCCUUUGAUACUGGCAGGCUAGAGGGAGGUAGGGGCAUGCGGAACUUCCGGUGGAGCGGUGAAAUGCGUUGAUAUCGGAAGGAACGCCGGUGGCGAAAGCGGCGUGCUGGACCUCUUCUGACGCUGAGGCGCGAAAGCUAGGGGAGCAAACGGG
rnacentral:rRNA from 1 species